AGCAUUUAAGAAAUAAGCUUGCUAGAUAGAACCAAAUCCUAAAAAAAUAGAAACAAUUAUUCUAGUUGCAAACCAAACAUAAGAAACAGUGUGAAGAAAACCAUGAGACAUAUAUAGCUUUUAAGUAAAUAUUAAAAGAAGCUAUGUAUCAUUGUAAACCAAAUUUAAAGUUGUUGGAAGGCCUUCAAACUGCAUCUAAGUUUGUAAAGUUUGUCUAAAAUAGUAGUGAGCCCAACAUCCAAGAAACAGAAUCGCUCAUACCAUUGCUUGGUAGGUUGGUUUCAUUACAAAUCAUACUACAAAUCUCUCACACCAUGCUUUAAAACCUCUCAAAACAAAGAAACAGAAUCAACAACAAUAGUUAAUAUAUAGAGCAACCUUCCAUUUUCAUUCUCCUCCUUAGUUGCCUUCCAAAAAAAUGAAUGCGUUAAAAAAUGAUUGGGAGAGGAANNNNNNNNNNNNNNNNNNNNNNNNNNNNNNNNNNNNNNNNNNNNNNNNNNNNNNNNNNNNNNNNNNACCAAAAGAUAAUAUGAAAAAAAACAUUAUAGAAUCUAAUAGGGGGGACAUCAUAGAGUUUUAUAAAAAAUGGGACAAAGAUGAUGAUCUUUUGAAGGAAAGACAAUCUUCCUAAAGAUUUACAUUACUAAACUUAUAUUAACCAAUCUUCCUAAAGAUUUGGGACAAAGAAAAAAUGAGAGAAGCUAAGCAUAUAUUAACCAAAAUAUAUUUGUUACCUAUCUUCCUAAAGAUGAUAGAUCCUAAGUAGUAGAUUAAGAGAAUCUAGAAUAACCAUUCUGUUGAUCAUCUUGUCAUAUAGAUGAGGGAUUCUUUCAUAAACCUUCAAUCAAACAACAUACUAAAAACCAUAAAAUUAACAACAAACUAACAAUAAAAUUAACAGCUAAAAUGGUUAUCAAUCAAUACAGAAGAAAACAUAAACACCCUUAAAGAGCUAAUAAGGCAAACAAUUAUCCAAAAAACCAGCAAACUACUAACCAAAAACCAUUGAACCAGCAACCAAAAUCCAGAAAGUAUAAAAAUUAUAAAAUAAAAUAAAAUACCCUGAUUCAUGUACUUAUUGUGAUUGUGAAAAAAUAAAAUAACCUUGAUUGAAAUUAGGAACACCAAUUAAGGCAAACAUUGAAAUCAAUGGAAUUAGAAAUACAAUUAUUAUAGUAAAAUAUUUAAACAAUAAUUUAUAAAAUUAAAAAGCAUACCUUGUGAAGCCCUUUGAGCAUUCCUUUAUGAAGAUAACCUGCAUAUCAAUAUCAAUUGACAAAAGAAAAUGCAGACAGAACAAAAAUUAAUGUUAAAAACAAAUAUUGGAUACAUAUAAAUGGUGAAACCCAAUCAAAAUUCAAAAUCCGAAAAUCAAAAUAAAUUUUGCAGUCCCAAAUGGACCUAGAAAUCAUCUAACAACCCCUUCAUCAAUCACUUAAAUACAAAAUAAAAAAUGAAAUAAAACUGAGCUAGGAGACAUAGAGUAGAGAAAGAGAAGUACCGUCAAAUUCCAACAACAACUCGAGCUUAAAUAUAUCAUCUGCAAACAACCCAUGAAUCGUUUAAAUACAAAAAGAAAACCAAAGAAAGAUCCAGAAAAUCAAGAGUGAUACCUACACUUUGGGAGAACAUGAUUCGAAUUUGGUGAAUGAAACUUUUACCUCAUGAUGCGAGAAUGUGAAAAACAAAAUAAAAAGAGGAUUAGAAAAUUAGGGAUCCUAAA
rnacentral:lncRNA from 1 species